AACGCACGAGACCUGCGGACCUGCUGAGGGAUCAUUAGUGAACGCCCUCACGGGCUUAUAACUAUUCCAAACCUCUGUGAACCGUGCCCUUCGGGGCUAUUUUACAAACAUGGUGUAAUGAACGUCAUAUAUCAUAACAAAACAAAACUUUCAGCAAUGGAUCUCU
rnacentral:misc_RNA from 1 species